CAACCGUGGAACUGCAUCGGAAACUGUCAUUCUUGAGUGCAGAAGAGGAGAGUGGAAUUCCAUGUGUAGCGGUGGAAUGCGUAGAUAUAUGGAAGAACACCAGUGGCGAAGGCGGCUCUCUGGUCUGCAACUGACGCUGAGGCUCGAAAGCAUGGGUAGCGAACAGGAUUAGAUACCCUGGUAAGUCCAUGCCGUAAACGAUGAGCGCUAAGGUGUUGGGGGACUUUCCCGGUCCUCAAUGGCCGCAAGCAAACGCAUUAAACCGCUCCCGCCUGGGGGAAGUACGAACCGCAAGGUU
rnacentral:rRNA from 1 species